rnacentral:rRNA from 1 species
GUAAACGGCUGCAUAAAUCUGAGUGUACUAAGGUAGCGCUAUAAUUUGCCCUUUAAAUGGGGGCUGGUAUGAAUGGGUUCACGUGAGAGUUGCUGUGUCAUAAAAAAUUUUUGAAAUUAACUUUUAGGUGAAGAGGCCUAAUUAGAAUUAAAGGACGACAAGACCCUAGAAGCUUCACUAAGAGUAGAUUAAUAGAUUAAUUUAUUUUAGUUUUGUUGGGGCAACAUAGUUAGAAAAUAUAACUUGUUUAUUACAAACUUACAAGUUAAAACCACACUGGUGAAUGAGAUAAGCUACUCUAGGGAUAACAGCGUUAUUUUUUUUAAUAGUACGUAUUGUAAAAAAAGUUUGCGACCUCGAUGUUGGACUAAGGUGUCCUUAAGGCGUAGAAGUUUUAAAGGGUUGGCCUGUUCGUCCAUUAAAACCUUACA